CACGUAGGGGGCGAGCGUUGUCCGGAAUUACUGGGCGUAAAGGGCGCGCAGGCUGUUAUGAGAGUCUGCUGUGAAAUGUACCGGCUCAACCGGUGCCUUGCGGCGGAUACUGCAUAGCUGGAGUACUGGAGAGGGAAGUGGAAUUCCCAGUGUAGCGGUGAAAUGCAUAGAUAUCACGAGGAACUCCGAUUGCGUAGGCAGCUUACUAAACCAUAACUGACGCUCAUGCACGAAGGCGUGGGGAGUCAAACA
rnacentral:rRNA from 1 species